ACCGUAAAAUUGCAGUUGAUACUGGAUAUCUUGAGUGCAGUUGAGGCAGGCGGAAUUCGUGGUGUAGCGGUGAAAUGCUUAGAUAUCACGAAGAACUCCGAUUGCGAAGGCAGCCUGCUAAGCUGCAACUGACAUUGAGGCUCGAAAGUGUGGGUAUCAAACAGGAUUAGAUACCCUGGUAGUCCACACGGUAAACGAUGAAUACUCGCUGUUUGCGAUAUACUGCAAGCGGCCAAGCGAAAGCGUUAAGUAUUCCACCUGGGGAGUACGCCGGCAACGGUGAAACUCAAAGGAAUUGACGGGGGCCCGCACAAGCGGAGGAACAUGUGGUUUAAUUCGAUGAUACGCGAGGAACCUUACACGGGCUUAAAUUGCAGAUGAAUUACGGUGAAAGCCGUAAGCCGCAAGGCAUCUGUGAAGGUGCUGCAUGGUUGUCGUCAGCUCGUGCCGUGAGGUGUCGGCUUAAGUGCCAUAACGAGCGCAACCCUUGUUGUCAGUUACUAACAGGUUCCGCUGAGGACUCUGACAAGACUGCCAUCGUAAGAUGUGAGGAAGGUGGGGAUGACGUCAAAUCAGCACGGCCCUUACGUCCGGGGCUACACACGUGUUACAAUGGGGGGUACAGAGGGCCGCUACCACGCGAGUGGAUGCCAAUCCCCAAAACCUCUCUCAGUUCGGACUGGAGUCUGCAACCCGACUCCACGAAGCUGGAUUCGCUAGUAAUCGCGCAUCAGCCACGGCGCGGUGAAUACGUUCCCGGGCCUUGUACACACCGCCCGUCAAGCCAUGGGAGCCGGGGGUACCUGAAGUGCGUAACCGCGAGGAGCGCCCUAGGGUAAAAC
rnacentral:rRNA from 1 species